ACAUGAAAAGGCCCGAGGACACAACCCUCCAACCCAGGAACCUGAGGAGGACUGGUCCUGUGAGUGUCCCCACCAUGGCCUGGAUGGUGCUCCUGCUCGGGCUCCUCACUUCCAGCUCAGGUGUGGAUUCUCAGACUGUGGUCACCCAGGAGCCAUCACUAUCUGUGUCUCCAGGAGGGACAGUCACACUCACCUGUGGCCUUAGCUCUGGGUCAGUCUCCAGUAGUAACUAUCCUGGCUGGUUCCAGCAGACCCCAGGCAAGGCCCCUCGAACACUCCUCUACACCACAAGCAGCCGGCCCUCUGGGGUCCCUGAGCGCUUUUCUGGAUCCAUCUCUGGGAACAAAGCCACCCUCACCAUCACAGGGGCCCAGCCUGAGGACGAGGCUGAGUACUCCUGUGUUCUGUGGCACAGCAGCCAUUACCACAGUGAGAGAUGA